AUUUAAAUAGCUUAAGGUUAGAGCGUAGCUCUGAAGAAGCUAAGGUAGUUUUUAAUUUUUAAAUA
rfam:Orchesella cincta Ocin01_Sc7444, whole genome shotgun sequence.